AACGUAGGUGGCGAGCGUUAUCCGGAUUUACUGGGCGUAAAGCGUGUGCAGGCGGGGAUACAAGUGGUGUUUGAAAUUUCCCGGCUUAACCGGGAAGGGUUAUGCCAGACUGUAUUUCUGGAGUGCGAGAGAGGGGCGUGGAAUUCCGGGUGUAGUGGUGAAAUGCGUAGAGAUCAGGAAGAACAUCGGUGGCGAAGGCGCUCUGCUGGACCAUAACUGACACUCAGGGACGAAAGCUAGGGGAGCGAAUGGG
rnacentral:rRNA from 1 species